UACGAAGGGGGCUAGCGUUGUUCGGAAUUACUGGGCGUAAAGCGCGCGCAGGCGGUCCUCCAAGUCAGUGGUGAAAGCCCGGAGCUCAACUCCGGAACUGCCAUUGAAACUGUGAGACUGGAGUACGAGAGAGGUGAGUGGAAUUCCCAGUGUAGAGGUGAAAUUCGUAGAUAUUGGGAAGAACACCGGUGGCGAAGGCGGCUCACUGGCUCGUAACUGACGCUCAGGCGCGACAGCGUGGGGAUCAAACAGG
rnacentral:rRNA from 1 species